AGUAGUCCUCCCACCCCGGGGGACGGGUGCGGGGGGUGACCCGGUGAAGAGGGCAGGGAGCUGGGGCAGCCUGCUGUGCGGAGCUGGGGGAGGAGGAGGGAGCCCUGGGGGACAGACAGAAGGACCAUCGAAGGAGAAACCCUGCUGGCCUCGGGACCUGGAGGAAAGAACCAGGGCCCGUGCUCCUUGGGCCAGGAUCCGGCGAUUGGACGGAACCUCUCGGAUUCCCCAGUGCUGUGAAAUCCACUUGGGGCCAUCACACCCUUCAUUGCUGUGCUCCCUGGCAGAACUCGAAUGCAGCGUGAGCUGGGCACUUUUCCCAGGGUUUGCUCUAGGUCUGGGUCUCCCAUCAGCUCCCCCGGAGCAGAGCCUGAGGCAAGGAUUCUUGUUCGGGGGCAUCUUCCUCUCAGCACCGUGCUUUGGGAAUCGAGUGAUGGUGCUGAGUGAACCCCUGAGUGAACAUCUGUGGCUUCCUCCCACCUCGUCUCUGGAUGCACUCCUGUUCGAAUGGUACCUGAUCUUCUUCUGUGUGAGAAUUUUCUCUGGGCACAGUCUGUCCAGGAGGGGACACGAGUACCCCUAAUUUCACUAAGUGUGGCUGAAUUAUCUUCCAGGGUGUCUGUACAUGCUUGUCCCCUCCCCACGGUGGCGUGCUCAAUGGUGGCUCCCCACAGAUAUGUCCGUGUCCUAAUUCCCGGAGCCUUUGGGUCUCAUGUAGCCAAUGAUGUGAAAAAGUGAAGGAUGCUGAGAGGAGAUCAUCCAGAUGUCUUAGAGGAUAAAAAUGAGCGGGCAGAUGAAGAGAUACUCAGGGUGAGGUUUGGAAGGUGCACCAGGCCCACCCCAUGGAUGUGGCUCAGAGAGCCUGGGAAACGUGAGGUCUGUGACCUGGAUCAGGCCCAGAGAGACCUGAGCAGGAGGCGUGUGAAGCCCCUGCGCCUGUGCGAGGAGGGAAGCUGUUUCAGGGAAUUUGCCUUUCUUUCCCUGUAGUUUCAGACUAGCUGAUAAAUUACCUAAAAUGUUACCACAAGAUGCACAAUGUAACCAUCACUCAUUAUCUUCAUGUUCCUGGAAUUUUUUUUUUUUUUUUGAGAUAGAGUGUAGCCUCAUGGCAGCCUCAACCUCCUGGGCUCAAGUUGUCAGAGGCGUGUGAACCAGAGCAACUCCAUCUUGAAUGGGGCUGCGUAAAAUGAAGCUGAGACCUGUGGGGCUGCAUUCCCAGACCGCUGUGGCAUUCUGAGUCACAGGGUGAGACAGGAGGUCAGCACAAGAUACAGGUCAUAAAGACCUUGCUGAUAAAACAGGUUGCAGCAAAGGAGCCGUCCAAAUCCCACCAAAACCAAGAUGGUGACAAGAGUGACCUCUGGCCGUCCUCACUGCCACACUCCCACCAGCCGUGACAGUUUACAGAUGCCAUGGCAACCUCAGGAAGUCACCAUAUAUGGUCUAAAAAGGGGAGGUAUGAAUAAUCCACCCCUUGUUUAGCAUAUCAUCAAGAAAUAACCACAAAAACGGAGAACCAGCAGUCCUCGGGGCUGCUUUGUCUAUGGAGUAGCCAUUCUUUUUUUUUUUUUCGAGAUGGAGUCUCGCUCUGUUGCCUGGGCUGGAGUGCGGUGGCAUGAUCUUGGCUCACUGCAACCUCUGCCUCCUGGGUUUAAGUGAUUCUCCUGCCUCAGCCGAGCUGAGUAGCUGGGCUUACAGGCACCCACCACCAUGCCCGGCUAAUUUUUUGUAUUUUUAGUAAAGCCAGGGUUUCAUUAUACUAGCCAGGCUGGUCUCGAACUCCUGACCUCAUGACCUGCCUGCCUCAGCUUCCCAAAGUACUGGGAUUACCGGUGUGAACCACCGUGCCCAGCCAGAGUAGCCAUUCUUUACUCCUUUACUUUCCUAAUAAACUUCCUUUCACUUUA